rnacentral:lncRNA from 1 species
AAUACUAUGUGACGGGGCGAAACAAGCCCUCCCACAGGCUGCUUAUCCCUGCGGAGGGGUCAGCCGGAUUGUGGAAGACGGGGAUCGACGGGCGGGUCCGGACCUCAUGAUAAAUAUUUUCAAGGGAUGGGACCCGAGUCCUCCAGAGUGGAAAGUCGAAGAGUUUCCACGCGGCCAAUCCGGCCGACUGACUAAGAGCAUUGCCUUCAUCCACAAUGAAAUUAGAACUUAUACCACGUGCUGAGACACCACACCAUAUUGUCACUUGUAACGGUUUCUAGACGAUAACAUCUGCCACUCAAAACCGAGGAACCAGAUGCUUAGCGAUUAAUGUAGCCACCCAAGUGUGAGUGACUUUCGUCAGAGAACCACACAUUCUUCAAGAAAUCUGAAUCCUCGUACACCAUGGCCAAAAUAGUGUACGAGGAUCAUAUACCAUUUUGGCAUUAAAUAAAACGCACAUGCCCGUUUGAGAUGCGCGAGUUUCAGUAUUGUAUAUUUUGGCUUAUACUGUGUUUUGUUUAGCUCGAUCAGUUCUCUGAAUGUACAGUAUUGUAGUUGAGCAGCAAUAUAAUACUCUCAUGUACAGCAUUGGACUACAGGUCCAAGUGUUGUAUAUGCGUCAAUAAGCUUUGUUUUAGUUUACUACAAUACUUUGGCAUUAUUAUUCAAUAAUCUGUAAAAUUUAAAAUCCUAAAUUUAAGUUAAAUCUUCAAAUGACUAGUAAAAGAAAGUGCAAGUACGAAUAAACUUAAUGAAGAGUAUAAAUAUAUUCUAUUGCAAAAGAAUGAUGCAGGUUUGCUGUAAACGUAGGAAAUUGCCCCUCCCCUCAACUUCUACAAUUGCUCAUAGUGUUGUAGAGGCAUCUUCACAGAACAAUAACUGAUCAAAUAUAUCGGUACUUACGAACGCGCUCCUUACCUCAGAUUCGCCCUUCUCAUGAGCUCUGGAAAAAUACUGUUCGUUCAUUGGCGAUGAAAUUUAAUAGUUUGUACAGGUAUCUGAAAGGCAUUUGUAUACAGAGUUUUGCAGUUCUUAUUUAUUUUUUAGGGAUGCAUCGUUUUUUGGCAACAAGAGUUUAUUUCACAAGGCAGAAUGACAACAAAACUCGUGUUCAUAUAAAAUUUAAUACAAUUUCAAUAGGUAUUCAGUUGUAUGAUCGAAUUAAGAUAGACCGUUAUCAAGAAAGUAAUGUCUUCAGAGAAAUGCCAAUAAUAUGAAAAUUAAACGAAGGAUAAAAGGAACAGCUGACUGGGCCAGUCUUUUCCAAUGAUUAUCCAAAACUUGGAUCCAGUCUUACGUAAAAGUUAAGAUUUCAUUAAUUUUUUCCGACCACUCAUCCAACUCAAUUGCCCACUUAAAUGGACAUUUCUACAUUGCUGAUUCCUGACCAUGAGUUGGAGCUGGGGCUUUGAAAGAGCUCAAUUGCUUUAAUCGGCUUAUCGAGAGCAGAAUAAUGAAGUCAGUUCAGAACAAUUCUAGUCUCUUUUCAUCAAGUAAUUGUUGGAAGUAUUUUGAUUGAAAACCUGUAGUUCCCCAGCUUUUGCAUUUUAGAUAGUUUUUCCAUGAAAAUAUAUUCUCCUUAUUUGAUUUCCAUGAAGUGAAAAUGCAAACUUUUAAAAUUUCAAAAAUUUCGUAUGAUUAUGUUGUUUGCAAAAUAGCAAUUUUUACUUCUUUACAAAGCGGUUUUCAGAAAAGUAAUACACUUCUUGAAAACGGCUCACAAAACCAAGCAUUGACAAAUUUUAAUGAAAAUUAAUUUUCAUUAUAUGAUGAUUUAAUUACAACAAACAUAACUCGAAAACUAUUGUAUUUAAGAUACACGUGUGAAAAUUUCCAGUUUACACAACUUUUGAUAUUGAAUCUUACGAAAAAAAUCGG